rnacentral:pre_miRNA from 1 species
CGAACCUUGGCUCUAGACUGCUUACUGUUGCGUAGNNNUAGGAGGAGUAACAGUCUCCAGUCACGGCCACCGACGA